ensembl:lncRNA
AGGAUGGCAGGACUCAUUUGAUCUGCAUUACCAUGAGAGGCAUGCUCGUGCAUUGUGUGACUGGUUUGUGCCCUCAGUAUCCGCCACAGAAAAACCGAACGCACUAAACAAAUUUAUGGAUCCUGUAACCCAUAAUGCAAAAUCUGAGACGCACUCAAGAAAUCCAGAAGCUCAUUUCACAUGAUCUCUCAGGCUGGGUGUGGGACACACGCUGUCUUAUUCAUGUGUCCCGUGCUGUGCUGACUGAGCCUCAGGUUUUGGCUUUGCUGGAAGAUCUAUGCUACUGUGGUAAUUUGAGAGUCUAGGUUUUGGAAUUGGCCUGACUACGCUCUGCUUUUUGGCCUUGGGUUCAGAAGAAAACCAAUGGUCUUCUGACCAUCACGCAUCAAUCACUCAGCCAGGCUUUUAACCUGUUGUUGCACGGUUUGGAUGGUUUUAUGUUAUUUGUCUUAUUCUCCUUUAUUUUAUUUAAAUUUGCCACAAAAUAGUUGCUUUAUGUAGCCAAACCUUUGU